AAAGGAGGCUGUUUCAAAGCAGAAAUAGGAACCAGCAGAAAUCAGACAACUGAGAACAUUUGUAGAUCUAAAAUUGAUCACAUCUAUGAACAUGAACUCUGAGGUGAUACCAGAAAUCCACUCCUCUCACAGUAAGAAGCCUUUUAAUUUCUGGAUGAACUUUGUUCAGGUAGUUAUAUACCCAUUUAAUCCUGGGUCAGCCUUGUGUCUGUGGAAUAAAGGUCUGGAACUGGUAAGUCCACCAGGAUGAAUUUUCCUUACUGGAGCUUGACCCUGCUGGAAAUACUGGUAUAUCCUCAGAUUCUUCUGGGGUCUUUUUAUUGCCAUAAUAUAGUGGCACUUCAUAGUCACCAUGCACUCACCUAGUAUAUCCAAGUUUAUAUCUUUUCUCUUAUUUCUAAUAGGCAUGAUAUCAGCUUUUAACAGAAACUUUUUCUGUAAUAGAAUAUCUUUACAGGCAUGACCUAUCAUGUCUUUCAUUAAAUUCUCUCUAUUGCUUAAGUCUUCAAGGUUACACAGCCCCUUUAUGACACUCCACUCUGGAUCUUUUCUGCAAAGAAUGCCUCAGCAAAUUUUAGAAGUGUAACAUUUUUUCCCCCCCAUACCUUCUUCAUGCAUAAAAUUCUCUCCAGCCCAGAAUUUAAUUUUUCCAUUACAAACAGGAUCAUCUCUCCUUCAGCUAGUUAGUUAUGCAAUGUAGAAAUCUCAUAUUAAUGUCCAUCUUUUACUCUUUAAUAAAUAAUUUCUCAUUUGACAUUGAAACUUAUUGUUUCUGAAUACUCUCUGAAUAGUUCUGUUUAAUCUGUCUCAAAAACAGAACACAAUAUCUAAGAGUUUAAUAUGUAAACUUAACAAGUUGAGCUACUUUCAGCUGAGCAAAGUGCUCUACAAAAACAUGAGGCCCGUGCAUAAAUCACCAGUUCUAGCUCUGUUAGGAAAUACAUAGUCCUCCUUGUAAUCAGGGCAACAGAGGACCACUGAAAUGUUUUGGGUAAGAAAGUUUGAAGAAUCUGGAGGCCCCCAAAACCAGAAGCACUUUGUGGGCAGUCUGGUGUGAAGAUGAAGGAGAUGAUGAAGAAGCUUUUGCAUCAUUCACCUGUGUUGUCAGGAUCAUUUCAGAUUAUGCUUUUCUUCUAAACUAGAUAUCUGAUUUCUAGCUUUUGGUUUAUAAUAUCAAAGGUAUUUCCACAUGACUUACUACAGUGAAGUAACAACAGCAAAAACACCAAAACCCCCAAUGAAUUAAUAACUUUACUGAUAUAUUAAGCCCACUGUUCUUACCUUAAAGGUGGAACAAUUCUUUCAAGAUCCAGAUUAAUCAUACAGCGAAUAACUGCAGAAUUUCAAGAGUUCUCUUCAGCCUGAAGAACGGAACAGUUCAGCAGCUGCUUGGUGAUCACUGUUAAUGCACUCAGCAGUUGGUUAUUUACAGCACAGAGUGGUGUCCAUUGUGAAAUCAUAGCAUCAAUCUAAGAAUGCUCUGUGUGUCAUCUUUUUCCAUGAACACUAACAGAACAGGAGCAGUAGGAAUGGAUGUCAGCAGGUUUACAACAACUUUCCUGGAAUUAUUGCCCUCCUGAGAAGAAUUUCCAUUCCAGACCAUCUCAGUUGGAGAUCUCUAUAAAGAUGUUGCCCUGGCCAUAUUUCUUGUGCUUGGUACUUUGUUUGAAAUGUAUGGUGUCACUGGAAAACUCUGUCUUGAGCCAAGAGUGCUACCACUGUUUUCAGGAAAGUGUUUGACAGUGGCAUGUGCAGUAGCAUUUAUUUUAAGAAGUGAGAUGAAAAAAUCAUUCAAAAGAGAGAAGGUUUGUUAACAGAAAGCACCUGGAAGCAUGCAAAAUUGAACAGUGCAUCUAUAUAUUUUAAUUUUUUUUCCAGAAAUGUAUGGUGUCAUCUUUAUUUGUAGAGUCAUGUUGCUAAUUUGCAAACAUUUGGAGAACUGUCAAAUGUUUUUGUGAAUAUUUAUGAGUUCUCAGUGUUUCACUGUUUUUAGCACAGGUGGUCAUUUGACCCAAAAAUUCCUCUAGGAAAUGUACUAUUUACUGUUCACCAUUCAUCUUUCUAUUGCAUAAAAGGUUUGUCAUCCUGUUAGUGAACAAAAUAAGUGGUCUGUGAGGCAGGAUGCAGGGUAACCCUUGCAGUGGACAGCUGAAAUAUAUAGCUUCAAACAAGCCUGGGUAUUAUAAAGAAAUAAUGUGCAGAACAUUAUUUUUUUAAACAACUAAGCAAAUAUUUAUCAACAGUAAGUCCUCCAGGGUACACAUUGUCCUUUUAUUUUCCUAUUUAUUCACCAUCUACUAUAAUAGAAUUGCAAACCUUGUAAAGGUCUUUAGGCAUUAAUAUAAUAAAUAUAUACAAUAACAGAGAUAACAAAUGCUAUUUAAGAAAUCUAUAUUGGAUAGUAGACAACUCAGAAAUAAAACUAGGUUAGAAACAAAUUUCCUGCAAGUAGGCUCACUUCAAAAUAAAAAUAUUGCCAAAUCCUUCUUUCUUUACUCACAUGAGUCCUCAAGCUGAAGAAAAGCUUCUAAGGCAGAUUAUAAGACUUCACUCCAUAGACUGGGAAUUUAUAUUUUAACAAACCAGAAUGAAGUUUUCAGAACUGUGAGCUGUGUGAAAUUAGCUCCAGGAAGUAUUUUUAAUGAUCAAGAAAGAGAGAAAAUAUUUCAGAACACAGACUAAAAUCUUUGAAAUUUAUUUUGGUGUAAUGUUUUAAUUCUAAGUUUUGAUUUCCAUCCAGCCAUUAACAUUCAAUGAGUACAAAGAGAAGCAGAAAAUUAUUUAAAAAUAUUUUUUCUGGAUAAAUCUAACACAAGGGAGUCUAGUGCAUAAAUUGGGCUUUCAUUGUAACUACUCACACACCCUGUGAUGACAACCAGAGAUUAGGUAUCCCUAUAUGUUACAUCCUGUUGUGUUAAAUGUUAAUACUUAACAAUAUUUAUUGAAUUAGUUACCUCCUGUAGUUUAGGAAUAGUUAUUGUUCUUUUAGAUUUAUCCACAUGUCUUUGCAGCAAGUUAAAAAAAUUAAUUUUAUUUUUCAUUUUUCUAUUAAAAUUCCAAGCCCUUGUUACCCCAGGUUGAUUUAAAACUGUGGAGAAAUUUUGUAAUCACAGAUGGCAAGAGUGAUCAAUCAGGCUUUUAUUAAUCUUCCAGAGAGACAGAUCCCCCAGACAAAGACACUUAAAUAAAAUCACUUAAAAGAUAACUAACUUCAACCUUUGCCUUGGCAAUCCCCCACUCUUCCAAAGGAGCCUGUGGCAUGCAAGCCUUGUCCUAACUGCAUUCAGGGGGGCUAAAGUUCAGAGGUCUUUGCUCCCUUUCUUUCAGGUGUUUGCCUGCACAGCAAACAGUACCUCUGGUAAGGUCAAGAUCUUGAGGCCUCCUGGGUCUGGCAGAUGUCUGGUUUCCAGGCUUUCCCCACUCCAUCCAAUUGUGAGGUGAUAUCCCAAGGGAUUUCAUUAAGUCAGUUUUUGUAAAUGAGCUGGGUUUGCAAUCUGACCACUGCUGCCCCU